UACGAAGGGGGGCUAGCGUUGCUCGGAAUCACUGGGCGUAAAGCGCACGUAGGCGGCUUCUUAAGUCAGGGGUGAAAUCCUGGAGCUCAACUCCAGAACUGCCUUUGAUACUGGGAGGCUCGAGUCCGGAAGAGGUGAGUGGAACUGCGAGUGUAGAGGUAGAAAUUCGUAGAUAUUCGACAAGAACACCAGUGGCGAAGGCGGCUCACUGGUCCGGUACUGACGCUGAGGUGCGAAAGCGUGGGGAGCAACAGG
rnacentral:rRNA from 1 species